rnacentral:rRNA from 1 species
AGCUCCAAUAGCGUAUAUUAAAGUUGUUGCAGUUAAAAAGCUCGUAGUUGGAUUUCUGAGUGUGCGUGGUGGUCCGCCGCAAGGCGAGCACUGCUGCGUGGGCUCUUCCUCUCGAAGACCGGGUGUGCUCUUGAUUGAGUGUGCCUCUGGGAUUCGGGACCUUUACUUUGAAAAAUUAGAGUGUUCAAAGCAAGCGUUUUGCCUGAAUACAUUAGCAUGGAAUAAUGGAAUAGGACUUUGGUUCUAUUUUGUUGGUUUCUAGGACCGAAGUAAUGAUUAAUAGGGACAGUUGGGGGCAUUCGUAUUUAAUUGUCAGAGGUGAAAUUCUUAGAUUUAUGAAAGACGAACUUCUGCGAAAGCAUUUGCCAAGGAUGUUUUCA